AUUUAGGGCUGGCUGUUCGUAUUUUGCAAAUUUUCUUCUUCCAUUCAGCGGAUUGGAGCUCAAAUCUCACGAGCGAUUGGAGAUCGCUAUUAGACUCUUCCAUCUACUGAGGUAGGAUUUCAUCAUAAUCCCUCGUUUCUCCCUGAAGCAUGUUUCUUCUUCUUUGCGCUAGAAAAAGGCUACACCAGGUUAGGACUGCUGGAGAUUUGACCAACCAUCUCCAUCUGGGUUUUCUCCAAAACCCUUUUCUGAAACCCGUCUCAACUUCAACGGAUGGAUACCCAUUUACAGUAUCCUACCUCAUAAAUUCAUGUGGGCUGUCAAAGGAAGCCGCCGUAUCUGCAUCCAAGUUCGUUCAGUUUGAAACCUCGGAUAAACCAGACUCAGUCCGUUCCUUCCUCAGAAGCUACGGGUUUACCGAUACCCAAAUCUCUAGAAUCAUCAGAAAUCGGCCGAUGCUUCUCAUUCUUGAUCCUGAGAAAAUCCUUAAGCCCAAAUUUGCGUUUUUAUAUUCUAUCGGAUUCUCCCCACCUGACCUUGCAAAGAUAAUCUGUUUCGACUCAAGUAUAUUGACGUUUAGCUUAAAGAAUCAUAUUAUGCCUUGUUAUGAGUAUCUUAAGGGAAUAGUUCGCACAAACAACAAUGUCGUCACCGUUCUCAAACGCUUGGGGUGGGCUUUUGGAUCGUCUCAUCGGAAGCGUAUGGACCACAACAUCGCGACCCUUCGUGAUCAUGGUGUGCCCGAACGAUUCAUCAUUAGCGUUGUAAGGACUCAGCCUCAGUCACUUAUUCGUCCACCUGAUCUGUUUACUAAGAAUGUCAAAGAAAUUAAGGAUCUUGGGUUCGACCCUUCAAAAUCGACUUUUGCUCGUGCAGUUUCUUUAAUAACAUUAAAUAGAAAAUCAACGAUGGAAAGAAAGUUGGAUAUCUUUAAGAAAUGUGGUUGUCUAGAGAACGAGAUUACCUCAAUGAUAAAAAAGCAUCCUUAUUGUCUGGUGCUGUCGGAGGAGAAGAUAAUAAGAGGGAUGGAUUUUCUGAUGAACAAAAUGGGCUUGGAACCGUCAUUUAUUGCCAAAACCCCAAUACUUCUCUGUUUUAGUUUGGAGAAGAGGAUGAUUCCAUGGUAUUCAAUAAUACAAGUGUUGCUAUCGAAGGGACUUAUUAACAAGGAUAUCAACGUGGUUCAAGCUCUCAAGUUAAGUACGAAGGGUUUCAUGGAAAAGUUUGUGAUCAGAUACCAGAAGGAAAUUCCACAACUACAGAAGAUAAUUGAAGACUACUACAGAGUGUGUGGUUCCAAGGAUUUCAUUUUUGGAGUUAUGUCCAACUUCCGUAGCAUCUUCCACAGACACUUUUGAUAACCUGAAUUAUUCCCCUGUUUUGCUCUUUCAAAGAAUUCACAAGAUGAUAUGCUGUUUGGACCAAGAAGCUGGAAAAAGAAAGCUCAAAUGCAACUGGUGUAGCUGCAGUGGAAACAUGGCUACAACACAUUUUCUGUAUCUGCUUCACAAAGAUGGCAUCGAUUAACCAACUGCAGCCCUAUUCAUCAGAUGAUCUUGGGUUAGGAUGCUGUUCAAAGCCAUCAGACAAUCAAAAGCCUCCACUCACAGCAGAACUGGAUUACUCCAAACACCUCUUAUUUGAGAACUCUCCACCUAAUUUCUCUUAGGUGUUUAUGAGACUACAUUUCCAACUUAAACAACUGGAAAAAGAAAGCCUAAAUGCAACUGGUGUAGCUACAGCUGAAACAUAGGUGCAACACUUUCUGUAUCUGCUUCACAAAGAUAACAUCAAUUAACCAACUGCAGAUCCCUAUUCAUCAGAUGAUCUUGGAUUAGGAUGCUGUCCAAAGCCAACAGGCAAUUAAAAGCCUCCACUCUCCGCGGAACUGGAUUACUCCAAACACCUCUUAUUGAGAACUCCCCACUUGAUUUCUUAGUAAAGCUUUAAAGAAAGAUUUAAUGGUGAAUCUGCCAUUUUUACUCUCCUUCCACCACCUCACAUCUUGUCUUUCUUGAUUUAACUCCACUCCUUAAAGUCUAUCCAGAAAAGGGACACUACACUACUGACCCAUUUCUAACUUACAAACACUGAAAUAAUGAGACAUUUUUCCUGCUUAAAGAAUACAGCCUCGUUUACCAAGACAAACCUCUCUUUCAAUAUGAUAUAAUUUCUUUUGUGUUUUCUUUUCUUUUAUUUUUAUAUAUAUAUUUUUUGUAUUUCUGUUUAGUUGUAUUUGUUUAGUACACAUUAGGCCUCAAUUACAACAAUUUCUCUUGGUUUUGUUAGCUGCUAAUCUCUCUCCCUUUAUCUCUUGAAGUCUUUUCUUUUGUUUUCUUUCUAUUUUUCUGUUUAGCUGUAUUUAUAUACUUUUAGAUCAGCCAUUUUACUGAAGGCUUUUUGGUUGG